AACGAACGCUGGCGGCGCGCCUAAUACAUGCAAGUCGAGCGAGAAGACGUAGCAAUACGUUUGUAAAGCGGCGAACGGGUGAGGAAUACAUGGGUAACCUACCCUCGAGUGGGGAAUAACUAGCCGAAAGGUUAGCUAAUACCGCGUACGCUCCUUGGACUUCGGUUCAGGGAGGAAAGCGAUACCGUGGGUAUCGCGCUCUUGGAUGGGCUCAUGUCCUAUCAGCUUGUUGGUGAGGAACGGCUCACCAAGGCUUCGACGGGUAGCUGGUCUGAGAGGACGAUCAGCCACACUGGCACUGCGACACGGGCCAGACUCCUACGGGAGCAGCAGUAAGGAAUAUUGCGCAAUGGGCGAAAGCCUGACGCAGCGACGCCGCGUGGGGGAUGAAGGUCUUCGGA
rnacentral:rRNA from 1 species